CGGUCAAGUUAAGAAAGGGCGUACGGUGGAUGCCUUGGCGUCAAGUGGCGAUGAAGGACGUGGCCAACUGCGAUAAGCUUCGGGUAGCUGUAAGCAAGCGUUGAUCCGGAGAUCUCCGAAUGGGGCAACCCGCUGGAGCAAACCUCCAGCAUCCUCUUCAUUGAGGAAGCAAACCAGGGGAACUGAAACAUCUCAGUACCCUGAGGAACAGAAAACAACCGUGAUUCCCGAAGUAGCGGCGAGCGAACCGGGAACAGCCUAAACCGUAUCCGUGUCAAGCCCGGAAGCGUUGCGGAUACGGGGUCGUGGGACCAACUGUGGUUCUGUCCGGCAGGACCAAAGAGUUACCAAAUACCCUGGUAGUCGAAGAGGUCUGGAAAGCCUCGCCAAAGACGGUGACAGCCCGGUAGACCAAACCAGCGGUAUCUCUUGGUUGGGGAUCCCAAGUACUGCGGUCCACGUGGAAUUCCGUGGGAAUCUGGGGGGACCACCCCCUAAGGCUAAAUACUCCUUGACGACCGAUAGUGAACCAGUACCGUGAGGGAAAGGCGAAAAGACCCCCGGGAGGGGAGUGAAAGAGAACCUGAAACCGUAUGCCUACAAAACGUAGAAGGGCGAUGAUCCGGACUUAGUCCGUAUCCGCCUGACUGCGUGCCUUUUGGAGAAUGAGCCGGCGAGUUACGGUGAUUGGCGAGGUUAAGUGGGUUCCCCACGAAGCC
rnacentral:rRNA from 1 species